GAGGGUAUAGCUCAGUGGUAGAGCACAUGCUUAGCAUGCACGAGGUCGUGGGUUCAAUCCCCAGCACCUCUA
rnacentral:tRNA from 1 species